rnacentral:rRNA from 1 species
ACUCCUACGGGAGGCAGCAGUGGGGAAUAUUGGACAAUGGGCGAAAGCCUGAUCCAGCCAUGCCGCGUGUGUGAAGAAGGCCUUCGGGUUGUAAAGCACUUUCAGCGAGGAAGAACGCUUGUGGGUUAAUAUCCCGCAAGAAGGACGAUCACUCGCAGAAGAAGCACCGGCUAACUCCGUGCCAGCAGCCGCGGUAAUACGGAGGGUGCAAGCGUUAAUCGGAAUUACUGGGCGUAAAGCGCGCGUAGGCGGCUUGAUAAGCCGGUUGUGAAAG